UGCUUUAUACAGCCAAACCAGAUCAACAUAAUAACCAGCUCACCGUUACAAGCUAACGGGUCAGAACCACAGGCCCCGCCCCCAAAACACCAGCUGUAAUUC